UACAGAGGUCUCAAGCGUUGUUCGGAUUCAUUGGGCGUAAAGGGUGCGUAGGCGGCGCGGUAAGUCGGGUGUGAAAUCUCAGGCUCAACCCUGAAACUGCACUCGAUACUGCUCUGCUUGAGGACUGGAGAGGAGACUGGAAUUCUCGGUGUAGCGGUGAAAUGCGUAGAUAUCGAGAGGAACACCUGCGGCGAAGGCGGGUUGCUGGGCCGACACUGACGCUGAUGCGCGAAAGCCAGGGGAGCGAACGGG
rnacentral:rRNA from 1 species